rnacentral:rRNA from 1 species
UAGGGAAUCUUCCGCAAUGGACGCAAGUCUGACGGAGCAACGCCGCGUGAGUGAAGAAGGAUUUCGGUUCGUAAAACUCUGUUGUUAGAGAAGAACAGCGCAUAGAGUAACUGUUAUGCGUGUGACGGUAUCUAACCAGAAAGCCACGGCUAACUACGUGCCAGCAGCCGCGGUAAUACGUAGGUGGCAAGCGUUGUCCGGACUUAUUGGGCGUAAAGCGAGCGCAGGCGGUCAAUUAAGUCUGAUGUGAAAGCCCCCGGCUCAACCGGGGAGGGUCAUUGGAAACUGGUUGACUGGAGUGCAGAAGAGGAGAGUGGAAUUCCAUGUGUAGCGGUGAAAUGCGUAGGUAUAUGGAGAAACACCGGUGGCGAAAGCGGCUCUCUGGUCUGUAACUGACGCUGAGGCUCGAAAGCGUGGGGAGCGAACAGG